UUAAAAUGUAAAAUUUAAUUCCAAAUUAGUAUUAGUUAUGAUCUUGAAAAUUAAAAAAUUUGGCGGUAUUUUAGUCUAUUCAGAGGAACCUGUUCUAUAAUUGAUAGUCCACGAUUAACUUUACUUGAUUUAAAAAUUUGUAUAUCGUCGUUUUAAUAAUUUUAUAAGAAAAUAAAUUUUUAUAAAUUUUUAUAUAAAAAAAUGUCAGAUCAAGGUGCAGUUUAUAAUUAAGAAGAAAUGGGUUACAAUAAAUUUAUUUAUAUGGAAUAGUAUAUAAAAAGUUACUAUGAAGGUGGAUUUGAUAGUAAUAAAAUUAAUUUAAAUUUUAUGAUUUUAGCUCUAAAAUAUGU
rnacentral:rRNA from 1 species